GAGCAGCAGAAGAUUAUGCAUAUUAAAACAGAUAUGUCACAAAAAUGUUAGAACACGUCUGGACUGUUCUGGUGUAAAAUAAUAAAAAGGAAAAAUGUUAGGAGUUCAAAGUGUAGCUUGAACAAUACUGAACUGGUUUAAAAAAUAAAGCAUUGAAGCAUAUUUUGGUCUUCUGGAACCCUAGUGUAAUGUCGGUGUUAGUAAAUGAGCCAGACACAGAAAUCAUGUAGUGAGCAUGUUGGGUUCAAAUACAAUACGUCUUUAUGACCUCCAAGACAAGGUCACCAUCCAAGGAGAGCUUUUCAAUUUGUAGAAAGAAAAGCUUAUACAAUUGCUUCAACAAUGUACCUUUUAUCAACUCCAAUACAGGCCAGCUGAGUAACAGUUUCCUUAGCUAAAGGCCAUCAAUCUGACAUCUCUGGUAAUUUUUUUCAAAGUUUUUAUAAUCUUGCUCUUGCAGCUUUUGCUUUUGACAUAUAGUGAAAAGUUUAAAAGUGACAGGGUAACCACAUUGUCUAAUCAGAUUUAAAAAAUUUUUUCCCAUUACCCCACAUGAAAAAGGAUUAAGGUCUACAUUUUCCUGCCCAGGUCUAACCCAUGUAUGGUCAGCCCAUGCUUAUGUCAUGUGGGUUCAAUGUGGUCAGCCCACAUGGGCUUCCCAUGUUGGGCCCUUGAUAAUGAAACUGCAUGGGCCCCACUUAGUGUUGCCCAUUUCUGUCCCAUCCCCAGUUAGCCCACAUAAAAAAGGAAUGGGGCCUACAUACGCAUGCCCAGGUCCAACCCAUGUACGGUCAGCCCAUACUUAUCUCAUGUGGGUUCAAUGUGGUCAGCCCACAUGGGCUUCCCAUGUUGGGCCCAUGAUACUGAAACUACAUGGGCCCCACAUAGUGUUGCCCACUUCUGCCCCAUCCCCAGUUAGCCCACAUAAAAAAGGAAUGGGGCCUACAUACGCAUGCCCAGGUCCAACCCAUGUACGGUCAGCCCAUACUUAUCUCAUGUGGGUUCAAUGUGGUCAGCCCACAUGGGCUUCCCAUGUUGGGCCCGUGAUACUGAAACUACAUGGGCCCCACAUAGUGUUGCCCACUUCUGCCCCAUUCACAGUUAGCCCACAU